GACCUGACCGCUAUCGGGGUGGGGCUAAGCCAUGCGAGUCGCGCGCCCGGGGCGCCGGGCGCGGCGCACGGCUCAGUAACACGUGCCCAACCUACCCUCGGGAGGGGGACAACCCCGGGAAACUGGGGCUGAUCCCCCAUAGGGGAAGGGCGCUGGAAGGCCCCUUCCCCCAAAGGGAUCUCGGGCGAUCUCCCGGGAUCCGCCCGAGGAUGGGGGCACGGCCCAUCAGGUUGUUGGCGGGGUAACGGCCCGCCAAGCCGAAGACGGGUAGGGGCGGUGAGAGCCGUGAGCCCCGAGAUGGGCACUGAGACAAGGGCCCAGGCCCUACGGGGUGCAGCAGGCGCGAAUACUCCGCAAUGCGGGCAACCGCGACGGGGCCACCCCGAGUGCCGGGCGAAGAGCCCGGCUUUUGCCCGGUGUAAGGAGCCGGGCGAAUAAGCGGGGGGUAAGUCUGGUGUCAGCCGCCGCGGUAAUACCAGCCCCGCGAGUGGUCAGGGUGAUUACUGGGCUUAAAGCGCCCGUAGCCGGCCCGGCAAGUCGCUCCUGAAAUCCCCGGGCUCAACCCGGGGGCCGGGGGCGAUACUGCCGGGCUAGGGGGCGGGAGAGGCCGCCGGUACUCCGGGGGUAGGGGCGAAAUCCUAUAAUCCCCGGAGGACCACCAGUGGCGAAAGCGGGCGGCCAGAACGCGCCCGACGGUGAGGGGCGAAAGCCGGGGGAGCAAAGGGGAUUAGAUACCCCUGUAGUCCCGGCUGUAAACGAUGCGGGCUGGCUGUCGGCCGGGCUUAGGGCCCGGCCGGUGGCGUAGGGAAACCGUUAAGCCCGCCGCCUGGGGAGUACGGCCGCAAGGCUGAAACUUAAAGGAAUUGGCGGGGGGGCACCACAAGGGGUGAAGCUUGCGGCUUAAUUGGAGUCAACGCCGGAAACCUUACCCGGGGCGACAGCAGGAUGAAGGCCAGGCUAACGACCUUGCCGGACGAGCUGAG
rnacentral:rRNA from 1 species